rnacentral:sRNA from 1 species
AGAGUGGUUCCAGGCCGGCUACUUUUCCAUGUCACUGCUGGUGAAGCGGGGCUGCGAUGAGGGCUUCCAGCCGCUGGGCGAGGUGAUCAAGAUGUGGGGCCGCGUGCCCUUUGCCCCAGGGCCCUCACCUCCCCCACUACUGGGAAACAUGGACCAGGAGCGGCUGAAGAAGCAACAGGAGCUGGCCGCGGCGGCCUUGUACCAGCAGCUGCAGCACCAGCAGUUUCUCCAGCUGGUCAGCAGGUAUGGGGGGCCUGGGGUGGGCUGGGAGAAGGCCCGGCGCUGGCUCUGUGGCCCACCAUCUCCACUGUCCCAUUUGCAGCCGCCAGCUCCCGCAAUGCGCGCUCCGAGAAAAGGCAGCUCUGGGGGACCUGACACCGCCGCCGCCGCCGCCACAGCAGCAGCAGCAGCAGCUCACGGCAUUCCUGCAGCAGCUCCAGGCGCUCAAACCCCCCAGAGGCGGGGACCAGAACCUGCUCCCGACGAUGAGCCGGUCC